UUACCAUGCAGAAGUAUUUUGUAGCGUUAGAGAAAAAGACGGAUCUACUCCGCCGGCACCGCAUGUUUAAGCUUGAACGAGUUUCGCAAGUUAUGAAGUGGGUAGUUUUUGCAACACUAUGCUAGGAGAGUGGAGAGGCGGGACUAGGCGGACAAGGGUGUGACCCUUCUCUGUGAUUGGUGGACAGAGAUUGACGGACAGACAGACGGAUAAAGAGGACGAGACAGACUGGAGAGGAGAGACUGAGAGAGAGAGAUGGAUCACAAUGUCAACUUUGACCUGACUCCUCACCACAUGGAGGCUGGCCUGGAGAGCCCAGUGGAUGAGGAGGGGGUCCAUGACUCCUUUAACCAGCUGAUAGAGGAUCAGAGACAGGAAGCCUUUGAGCUGCAGGAACUACAGAGGGAACUGGAUGAGGAGGAAAGAGACAGUGUAGCGUACCUGUCCAGCCCUGGUCGGGAGAUAUGGCGUGGGGG